rnacentral:rRNA from 1 species
GCAACUCGACUACAUGAAGCUGGAAUCGCUAGUAAUCGCGAAUCAGAAUGUCGCGGUGAAUACGUUCCCGGGUCUUGUACACACCGCCCGUCACACCAUGGGAGUCAGUAACGCCCGAAGCCGGUGACUCAACCGCAAGGAGAGAGCCGUCGAAGGCAGGUCUGAUAACUGGGGUGAAGUCGUAACAAGGUAGC